GACGAACGCUGGCGGCGUGCUUAACACAUGCCAGUCGAACGGAAAGGCCCUGCUUUUGUGGGGUGCUCGAGUGGCGAACGGGUGAGUAACACGUGAGUAACCUGCCCUUGACUUUGGGAUAACUUCAGGAAACUGGGGCUAAUACCGGAUAGGAGCUCCUGCUGCAUGGUGGGGGUUGGAAAGUUUCGGCGGUUGGGGAUGGAUUCGCGGCUUAUCAGCUUGUUGGUGGGGUAGUGGCUUACCAAGGCUUUGACGGGUAGCCGGCCUGAGAGGGUGACCGGCCACAUUGGGACUGAGGUACGGCCCAGACUCCUACGUGAGGCAGCAGUGGGGAAUAUUGCACAAUGGGCGGAAGCCUGAUGCAGCAACGCCGCGUGCGGGAUGACGGCCUUCGGGUUGUAAACCGCUUUCGCCUGUGACGAAGCGUGAGUGACGGUAAUGGGUAAAGAAGCACCGGCUAACUACGUG
rnacentral:rRNA from 1 species